rnacentral:rRNA from 1 species
CACGCUGUAAACGAUGGAUGCUAGAUGUCGGGGAGUAUUCUUCGGUGUCGUAGUUAACGCGUUAAGCAUCCCGCCUGGGGAGUACGGUCGCAAGGCUGAAACUCAAAGAAAUUGACGGGGGCCCGCACAAGCGGUGGAGUAUGUGGUUUAAUUCGAUGCAACGCGAAGAACCUUACCUGGGUUUGACAUCCACGGAACCCUCUUGAAAGAGAGGGGUGCCCUUCGGGGAGCCGUGAGACAGGUGC